GACGUAGGUGGCGAACGUUAUCCGGAAUCAUUGGGCGUAAAGGGUGCGUAGAUGGCAUGGUAAGUUAUUAGUGGGAAAUCGAGGCUCAACCUCGUGGAAGCUAGUAAUACUGUUUUGCUUGAGUACAGAAGAGGUUAACGGAACUCCAUGUGGAGCGGUAAAAUGCGUAGAUAUAUGGAAGAACACCAAUAACGGCGAAGGCAGUUAACUAUUCUGUUACUGACAUUGAGGCACGAAAGCGUGGGGAGCAAAAAGG
rnacentral:rRNA from 1 species